rnacentral:tRNA from 1 species
GGGCCUAUAGCUCAGUUGGUUAGAGCAUCCGACUCAUAAUCGGCAGGUCGUAGGUUCAAGUCCUACUGGGCCCACCA